UAGCUAACAAUUAAUUGUGGUGGAUUUCAGCUGUGGCCCCCAGUAACAGGGCUGACCAUUCAGGUGCAGACAGGAGCAAGGCACUCUGGGGCUCCUACCCCCUCCCAGAGGCUCAGGAGGGCUCAUUAAGUUGGUGAUUGCUGCCGAGGGAGUUGGACGUUGUUCUGCCAUGGGUUUGGUUUUGUUGGAGCUCUGCUGCAGUGAAAUUUCCUGUUGCACACGGUGUGAUCCUCCUGGUCUGCUCUGAGCUCUCUGUGUUCUUGUGAAGGGUUCAGAGCCUUCAGCCUCUUUGAGGAAAAGAAACAACAGCCAUGGAGGAGAUGGGAGCUUUGCUGCUGCUCCAGUCCUCAUGUAAUGCUCAGAGAACAACCUCAGAGAUCCCUGAGAAGGCUGAGCUCUGAUAUCUUCCGUCUUCUGCUGCCACACCAGAAAUGUGAGCAUCUAACUGUAAAGUUAAUGGAGGAAGAUCCUCACCUGCUCCAUCUCGUAUGACUGAGCUGAAUUUGGAGCUGAAGAGGACGUCUGUGUGGUUCAAGAUGAAUUCCAC